UUCCUGAUAUUUUAGUUGGUAAAGAGUCUGCCUUCAAUGCAGGAAACCCCAGUUCGAUUCCUGGGUUAGGAA
rnacentral:tRNA from 1 species